rnacentral:sRNA from 1 species
AUUGCGCAUGCGCGCGCCCGGGCGGCGCGGGGUCUGGGUCUGGGGAUGUGGUACCGUCUGCUGGCGGCGGCCGGCAGUAGAGCGGUGGCCGGGCCGCUGGCCUUGUUGUGGCGAUGUGGUGGCCCAGGAGGCGGCAGGACGGCCAAGACCAGCGCGAGGGCCCUGGGCAAGGCCCGACAGGGUUUGAGAAAUACUUUAAGAGGAGUGGAAGGAACACAAACUGAGAAACAUCAACAGCACCAAAAAAAGAGACUGGUGAACUAGAGAAUGCUGAGUCUGGAGGAGACGGAGGCAGGAGAGGAGGGAAGCGGGAUAACGUUGCCUGGUGGAGGCGGAUGCAGAAGGGGGGACUUCCCCUGGGGUGACGAGGAUUUCCGCAGUCUGGCCCUUUUAGGGGCAGGCGUUGCCGUGGGAUUUUUCUACCUCUAUUUUCGAGAUCCUGGAAGAGAAAUCACUUG